UAGGGAAUCUUCGGCAAUGGACGGAAGUCUGACCGAGCAACGCCGCGUGAGUGAAGAAGGUUUUCGGAUCGUAAAGCUCUGUUGUAAGAGAAGAACGAGUGUGAGAGUGGAAAGUUCACACUGUGACGGUAUCUUACCAGAAAGGGACGGCUAACUACGUGCCAGCAGCCGCGGCAAUACGUAGGUCCCGAGCGUUGUCCGGAUUUAUUGGGCGUAAAGCGAGCGCAGGCGGUUUGAUAAGUCUGAAGUUAAAGGCUGUGGCUCAACCAUAGUUCGCUUUGGAAACUGUCAAACUUGAGUGCAGAAGGGGAGAGUGGAAUUCCAUGUGUAGCGGUGAAAUGCGUAGAUAUAUGGAGGAACACCGGUGGCGAAAGCGGCUCUCUGGUCUGUAACUGACGCUGAGGCUCGAAAGCGUGGGGAGCGAACAGGAUUAGAUACCCUGGUAGUCCACGCCGUAAACGAUGAGUGCUAGGUGUUGGAUCCUUUCCGGGAUUCAGUGCCGCAGCUAACGCAUUAAGCACUCCGCCUGGGGAGUACGACCGCAAGGUUG
rnacentral:rRNA from 1 species